rnacentral:rRNA from 1 species
AUUGAACGCUGGCGGCAGGCCUAACACAUGCAAGUCGAGCGAGCGGCGGACGGGUGAGUAAUGUAUGGGGACUGCCCGAUGGAGGGGGAUAACUACUGGAAACGGUUGCUAAUACCGCAUACUAUCGGAUAACCCAUAUGGGAUUAGCUAGUAGGUGGGGUAAAGGCUCACCUAGGCGACGAUCUCUAGCUGGUCUGAGAGGAUGACCGUCCACACUGGGCCUGAGACACGGCCCAGACUCCUACGGAGGCAGCAGUGGGGAAUAUUGCGCAAUGGGGGCAACCCGGACGCAGCAAUGCCCCGUGAAGGAAGAAGUCCUUCGGGUGGUAAAGUUCUUUCGGUAGCGAGGCGUUAACUACAGAAGAAGCACCGGCUAACUCCGUGCCAGCCGCCGCGGUAAUAC